rnacentral:rRNA from 1 species
AACUCGUGCCAGCAGCAGCGGUAAUACGAGUGCCUCGAGCGUUAUCCGGAAUUAUUGGGCGUAAAGGGUGUGUAGGCGGUAGUGUUAGUCUUGUGUUAAAUCUCUUGGCUCAACCGAGAGUCUGCACGGGAAACGGCACAACUAAGAGGAUGGAAGGGGUCUCUGGAACUCAUGGUGUAGCGGUGAAAUGCGUUGAUAUCAUGGGGAACACCAAAAGCGAAGGCAAGAGACUGGCCCGCUCCUGACGCUGAAACACGAAAGCGUGGGUCGCGAAUGGGAUUAGAUACCCCAGUAGUCCACGCCCUAAACGAUGAUCUCUAGAUUUGGGGAGUAUCGACCCUCUCCGAGUCGUAGCAAACGCGUUAAGAGAUCCGCCUGGGUAGUACGGCCGCAAGGUUGAAACUCAAAGGAAUAGACGGGGACUUGCACAAGCGGUGGAACAUGUGGUUCAAUUCGACGCUAAACGAAGAACCUUACCAGGGUUAGAAAUCCAUUCGAAGACUGGCAGAAACGUCAGUCGCCGCAAGGCGGAUGGACAGGUGCUGCAUGGCUGUCGUCAGUUCGUG